rnacentral:rRNA from 1 species
UACAGAGGUCUCGAGCGUUGUUCGGAUUCACUGGGCGUAAAGGGUGCGUAGGUGGUGAGGUAAGUCGGAUGUGAAAGCUCCGAGCUCAACUCGGAAAUGGCAUUGGAAACUACCUUGCUAGAGGGUUUGAGGGGGGACUGGAAUACUUGGUGUAGCAGUGAAAUGCGUAGAUAUCAAGUGGAACACCGGGGGCGAAGGCGGCUCGCUGGGCAUGGUCCGACGCUGAGGCGCGAAAGCGUGGGGAGCGAACAGG